rnacentral:misc_RNA from 1 species
ACAUUGCUCGAAAUCAUGGAGGUCGAAGGAUCUACAAAGAUACCCGCUGUAUCAGAGCUGGUCUCUAAAGCCAAGGCAGCUUUUGUUGACAAAUUUGGAUGUGAACCCCAAUGUGCUGCCUACGGUCCUGGGAGAGUUAACCUCAUUGGAGAACACACCGACUACAACGAAGGCUUUGUUUUCCCCAUGGUCUGUUGAUCACGUUUCGUGUAAUGCUUUUGUUUACAACACAAAAUUUUUAACGUUAGACAACACAAUAUUCUAACACUGCCAAUCGAUUCUUUUAAUAGUUUAUGUAUGAGUUGUUACAUAAAUAUAUUUUUAUUCAGUUUUGGGGUAUCUAAAUAUUAUAUUUUUGUAAUGGAACGUUACAUCAUGCAAGAUAACUGCUACCGUGUCUACUUACUCGAAAAUGAUUGGUCGGAUUGCACACACCUCAAAAUGUACAGUGUAUAGCAAAAAUUACUAUUUAUAUCUUCUUGUGAGCAAAGUACAAAAUCGAGAAAUAUAUUUAAUUUCAGGCCCUACCACAGGUGACUGUAGUUGUAGGGAAAAAGUCUGAGGGAAACGUGUGCCGAGUUCUAACCCUUGCAGAAUCAGUGGAUGAACCUAAGUACGUGGAAUUCCCUGUACCUUCAGCAGAAACUCCACUAAAACCAGGCUCUCCCAAGUGGGCCAACUACGUGAAAGGGGUCGUUGCAAAUUACAUAGGGUCAGUUGUCCCCUUUGAUGCUGUGGUGGUAUCUUCAGUGCCACUAGGUGGUGGGGUGUCCAGCUCUGCCUCCCUGGAGGUGGCUACCUACACAUUUCUGGACGUCCUUACAAACGGAGGAGCAGAUGUGUCCAAAAAGGACAAGGCUCUAGCUUGCCAGAAAGCCGAGCAUGAAUAUGCGGGGAUGCCCUGUGGAAUUAUGGACCAGUUUAUCUCUGUAAUGGGCCAGGAAGGUCACGCCCUUCUUAUAGAUUGCAGGUCAAUGGAGGGUAAACUAGUUCCAAUGAAUGACCCAAAUGUGGUUGUCUUGGUAACAAAUUCAAAUGUCAAGCAUGAAUUAACAGGAUCAGAAUACCCAACACGUAAGAAGCAGUGUGAAGUGGCAGCAAAAGUCAUGGGCAAGAAAAGCCUAAGGGAGGCAUCUAUGAAAGAUUUAGAAGAAUUUAAAGAAAAACUUGAUGAUGUGAUGUAUAGGCGAGCGCGCCAUGUCAUUGGUGAAAUCAUUCGAACAGAGGAAGCAGCAAAAUGCCUCGAGCAGGGAGAUUACACAAGAUUUGGCAAACUGAUGGUGGAGAGUCACAAUGCUUUAAGGGAUGACUAUGAAGUCUCCUGCCCAGAGCUGGAUGAGUUGGUUGUGGCCGCCAUGGAGGCAGAGGGGGUGUUUGGGUCCAGGAUGACUGGGGGUGGAUUUGGGGGGUGCACGGUCACCCUGCUGAAGAAGGAGGCGGUGGAGAAGGCCAUUCAACACAUACAGAAGCGUUACAGUCAGACGGCAACAUUCUACGUGUGUCCCCCAGCUGCAGGGGCAGCGCCAUUAUCGCUGUCUUGAGGUUAUUUAACCGUAGGACGAAAACUUUGUGUUAAUUGUGCCGUAGAAAUUCAGGUGUUCGCUGCUUCCUUACCAUGAUUUAUUUACCUUUAACAUGUACUCUACCAAUUUUUUUUUUUGGAAAUGAAAUUAUAAAAUGAUAUUUCAAAUUUUAUCAUAUAGUAUAUAUUGUAAAAUCUUUGUUGGAAUCAUUUUUUUAUUCAUUGGGGUCAAUAUUCAUAAGUAGUUAAAAUUUUCCUGGUUCAUGGGGAUGUCAUUUCGUGGGUAUAGCGUAAUCGGAGCAAUUUUUAUAAAUAUUAAACAAAAUCUUGUGAUACAUAUGUGGGGAUAUAAAUUUGUUAUAAGUUUGUGGGUUACCCAUGAAAGCCACAAACGAUGAUUCCACAGUAUACUGAAUGAGGGUUUUUUUACAACAAACAAAAUAUUUAACUUUACAAAUUUAUUUUGUAGUUAUACUCAAGCUAUGGUUUUUUUUACAAUUGUUUAUCAUGAUUUAUGGGCUUAUUUGUUUACAUUUACUUGUAUAUUUGCUUUGUGUAACUUCCUUUUAAUGAAUAGUAUGUGACAUGAAUUUAUUAUUUCGUGAAAUUACUAUACCUCAACAUCUACUCGUACAUUUACGUUUUGUUGUGUAUGUUACAUGCUUAUUUUUAAUAAUAUCACUUAGGCAAUAAAAGUAAUAUAUACAAUUCUU